rnacentral:rRNA from 1 species
GAUGAACGCUGGCGGCGUGCCUAAUACAUGCAAGUCGAGCGAACAGACGAGGAGCUUGCUCCUCUGACGUUAGCGGCGGACGGGUGAGUAACACGUGGAUAACCUACCUAUAAGACUGGGAUAACUUCGGGAAACCGGAGCUAAUACCGGAUAAUAUAUUGAACCGCAUGGUUCAAUAGUGAAAGACGGUUUUGCUGUCACUUAUAGAUGGAUCCGCGCCGCAUUAGCUAGUUGGUAAGGUAACGGCUUACCAAGGCAACGAUGCGUAGCCGACCUGAGAGGGUGAUCGGCCACACUGGAACUGAGACACGGUCCAGACUCCUAAGGGAGGGAGCAGUAGGGAAUCUUCCGCAAUGGGCGAAAGCCUGACGGAGCAACGCCGCGUGAGUGAUGAAGGUCUUCGGAUCGUAAAACUCUGUUAUUAGGGAAGAACAAAUGUGUAAGUAACUAUGCACGUCUUGACGGUACCUAAUCAGAAAGCCACGGCUAACUACGUG